rnacentral:lncRNA from 1 species
GGUAGUUUGGAAAUCACCUAAUAUAUAUAUGUAUAUAUUUAUAAAUAAAAGUUAAUAUAUAUAAAUUAACAUUAAUUUUUUUUAACAGGAAAUGCACAAUGCUAAAAACUGCGUAGGAGAUUUUAAUACAAUAGUACUACCAAGCCUGAUGUUGGCCGCUAUUUCAAUGAAUGCAGCAGUGUCACAGCUAGCAAUCAAAAGUAACAAGAUAUUGAGGAAAUGCAGAUGGCAAUAAACUGUGUAGGAGUUCAUGAUUGCAAUAGAAUAAAAUCGACCAAGCCUGAAGUCAGCAGCCCCUUCAAUGAAUGCAGCAGUGUGACAGCCAGCAAUCAAAAGUUACAAGAUAUCGAGGAAAUGCAGAUGGCAAUAAACUGUGUAGGAGUUUAUGAUUGCAAUAGAAUAAAAUCGACCAAGCCUGAAGUCAGCAGCCCCUUCAAUGAAUGCAGCAGUGUGACAGCCAACAAUCAAAAGUUACAAGAUAUCGAGG